CCUACGGGAGGCAGCAGUGGGGGAUAUUGCACAAUGGGGGAAACCCUGAUGCAGCGACGCCGCGUGGGUGAAGAAGUAUUUCGGUAUGUAAAGCCCUAUCAGCAGGGAAGAAAGAAGACGGUACCUGACUAAGAAGCCCCGGCUAACUACGUGCCAGCAGCCGCGGUAAUACGUAGGGGGCGAGCGUUAUCCGGAUUCACUGGGUGUAAAGGGAGCGUAGACGGCCGUGCAAGCCAGGAGUGAAAGCCCGGGGCCCAACCCCGGGACUGCUCUUGGAACUGUGCGGCUGGAGUGCGGGAGGGGCAGGCGGAAUUCCUGGUGUAGCGGUGAAAUGCGUAGAUAUCAGGAGGAACACCGGCGGCGAAGGUGGCCUGCUGGACCGCGACUGACGUUGAGGCUCGAAAGCGUGGGGAGCGAACAGGAUUAGAUACCCGAGUAGUC
rnacentral:rRNA from 1 species